rnacentral:rRNA from 1 species
UACGUAGGGGGCAAGCGUUGUCCGGAAUCAUUGGGCGUAAAGAGCGUGUAGGCGGCUCGGUAAGUCCGCUCUGAAAGCCCGGGGCUCAACCCCGGGAGGCGGGCGGAUACUGUCGGGCUAGAGUCCGGAAGAGGCGAGUGGAAUUCCUGGUGUAGCGGUGAAAUGCGCAGAUAUCGGGAAGAACACCCGUGGCGAAGGCGGCUGCUCUGGGACGGUACUGACGCUGAGACGCGAAAGCGUGGGGAGCGAACAGG